rnacentral:lncRNA from 1 species
CUCAUCUCUUGACUUGAUCUUAAUAUUGUGUCAUUGCAGAGGCUAAGUGUAAUUGGCAUCCUCUUAAAAUUAAUAUUUCGGUUCUCUUUGUUUUUCCUCCGUUUUCAUCCUUUUUUGUGCGCAUUCUCAUCUCUUGACUUGAUCUUAAUAUUGUGUCAUUGCAGAGGCUAAGUGUAAUUGGCAUCCUCUUAAAAUUAAUAUUUCGGUUCUCUUUGUUUUUCCUCCGUUUUCAUCAUUUUUG